CCUACGGUGUGCAGCAGUGGGGAAUAUUGGGCAAUGGGCGCAAGCCUGACCCAGCAACGCCGCGUGAAGGAAGAAGGCUUUCGGGUUGUAAACUUCUUUUCUGAGGGACGAAGAAAGUGACGGUACCUCAGGAAUAAGCCACGGCUAACUACGUGCCAGCAGCCGCGGUAAUACGUAGGUGGCAAGCGUUAUCCGGAUUUAUUGGGUGUAAAGGGCGUGUAGGCGGGAAAGCAAGUCAGAUGUGAAAACUCAGGGCUCAACCCUGAGCCUGCAUUUGAAACUUGCAAACUGGAGUGUUUGAGAGGAUAGUGGAAUUCCAGGGUUAGGAGUGAAAUCCGUAGAUAUCUGGAGGAACAUCAGUGGCGAAGGCGACUAUCUGGCACAUAACUGACGCUGAGGAGCGAAAGCGUGGGUAGCAAACAGGAUUAGAUACCCGGGUAGUC
rnacentral:rRNA from 1 species